rnacentral:lncRNA from 1 species
AAACGCCAAUACAGCAAAGGGUGAAAUCACAACAGGAAAUCCACAGGGAAAAUGUCUAACAAAGAGAUUUUCCUGGGGAAAAGCAACAAGAUGAGGUGUUACCGGUAUAAGAGUAACAAGCUCAGGAAGAAUGAAUAUCUAAGACCGAUAUAAGGGUGAGAGAUAUCAAUCAACCAAACAUCUGAGAAAGACCUGAAAAAG